UCUGGUUGCCAGGAUACAGACGCUGCUGCACCCGCACGUUUAAAAAUGUCUACACCUGAAACUCCACCACGUCUAAAGAAGCAAAAACGUUUGCAAAUGUACAGACUGGAGUGGGAAGAGUGGAACCCCUGGCAUUGGGUACAAGGCAAACUGUGUUUUCUGUUGCUCAUGGACUGGCUGAAGUAAGGCAGCAUCAGGAGACAAACAUGGAGGAAAUAUGAGAACAGAGAGAACCCAACCAGCAGGUCACAGUUUAUCAUCAUCUAAUCAUCUCCUGAAGUCGAUAUGGUCCCUCUCUAUCUCCCUACACAUCCACCAACCACUGGAACACAUCUCCAAAGUUCUGCCGGGCCAGCUCAGCUUCCCCUCAGAAGAAGUGCCACCACCUGCCAGAUGAAGGAGCCUUUUGAGAGGCAGCUGGCAUCGUGAUUGGACUGUACUUUGGUCUGUUCCAAUCCAGCUUCAGCUCCAGAGACGGCAGGCGGGACGAGUCAACGGAGGCCAGGUGGACGAAGGCAUGCAGCUGAGUACAAUCCAGAAAACAACAGAGGAGGAGUGCAGCGGCCCAGGGCCAGAACAAACAGAACCAAAGAACUACAGACUCUUCACAACCUGCUCAAACUCUUGGUACAGGACCUCACCACACGGGUCAAGAAGGUUUCCAUCUCAUUUCUACUCUGAAGCUCACCUUCUCCUGCUCAAACUGCUGACAAAUGUUUCUGCUGCUCUAAAGUCUGGUCUCCAGAACUUCCUAAAAACUCUCAAAGUCUCUUCUGCUGCAGGUUGCUUUGUAGAACUGUUCCCGAAAACCUCACUAAACCACAUGGAGGGGCCUCAAGAUAGUCGUCCAAAUGAAACCAUACAAAAACCAAACUAGCACAACCCAAACACUAAAGUCUCCUGCAGCCUACCAGAGAACCUCUGAGAACAGAGAAUCAGGACAGGAACUCUUACCUUCUGGACAACAAACGCUGGUUCACAAACAAGAAUUCAGAAUGUGUCUGACCAAAAACCUCUAAAGACUCACUACAGCCAAGAUAAAGACACAACUCAGCUGCACCAAAUCCACUAAUCACUGCACACAUUAGCACCAUGUGCUAACCGUGGCUAAAGAACCACAUUUACCAAGACAACUAUCCAGUACAAAGCCCUAAAACACACCAAGAAACACAUUAAAGAUGAUUUUACUGCUGGAAGCUGCAAGUCAACGCCUAAAGAACUAAAGCAACUGAGCCAAACCCGGUUCAGUGCUGAAGGGAAGCAGAGGAAAUGUUUGUCUGCAGCCACAUAAAGCAGGAAGAUAGUGAGCUGCUCAGGUGUUCCUGAUAACACCAAGCAGACACCUGGACAGCCAAUAGGAACACAGCUUACUGGAAGUCCAGAGGGUUGGGUUAGUGAAGGAAAUUUAGUUUAAAGUUGAGGCAGAAAGUUAACAAAGAAAGUUGAAAACCACCUUCUGAUCCCUGAAAUCUCUGAGUUUUCACACAAAGAACACCUGAACAUGUCAAACUGGUUCCAUAGUAGAACCAUCAUUGUAAAAACGUCAUAGUAUGGUGUGUUGCUCAAAAAACAUUAGGACCCGGCUGUCUAGGGUCGCCGAGGAGCAACACAAAAACAGGUGGUAUAUUCCACCCAACAUCCUUGAACAUAAACUUAAAAAGUUCAUUCAAAGGAAUAUUCCACCCAAAAUCCUUCAAUGUAGACCAAAAAAUCUUGGUGUAAAGGAGUAGUCCACCUUAAAUGUAGAGCUAAAGGAUGGUUUGGAGUAAUAUUCUACUCUAAAAUCUUCCAAUGUAGACCUAAAAGGUUGAUCUGAUGGUAUAUUCUAGUCAACAUCUUGGAACAUUUACCUAAAAGGUUGGUUUAAUGGUAUAUUCCCAGAAGAACCCUUGAACAUUGGGCUUAAUGGUAUAUUCCACCCAAAAUACUUGUACAUAUACGAAGAAGUCAGUGUAAAGGAAAUGUAGACCUAAAAGGAUUGUUUAAAGGAAUAUUUAAAUGAUUAUUUUCAUUUUUUAAUAAUCUGUUAUCAGUCAGAACCUUGGCAAACUUAUUUUCAUCAGUUUUUCAGUGGAAGUCACAAAUAAAGGCGCUCUUGGUUUUUCCCGGCGUUACUGAGUCCAAAGCUGCUGUUUCAACACGGAACGUUCACAUGCAUCCACAAACCUCUCAGCACUAAAAGACCCACAGACAGGCGGCCGGCUGGACCGAGGCUCGGUGGCGUCCUCAGACCCACAAGUCGGGGAGUCGCUGAACUUGUUGGUCCAGUUUGAAGGCCUCCAUGUGGUCCAGUAGAAGUCCACGUAGUCGGUGUUGGCUUUGAACCACAGCGACUGGCCGCCAUCAGGUGGACCGGCUCGUCCUCGUAGGGCUCCUCCUGUAGCCUUGAGGGAACCACAGGAACAUUCAGUAGCUGUUGGAGUUCUUCCUGUCAGGCUUGUGGUAGAACGGCUCUGAAGUAUCUUGUACUUGUCUUAUCUGGAACAAUCUAACAGCCUAAACUGUUAACAGCGGUGUAAAGAAGCAAACACACAGGCAUAGAUUAGGACUCAAACUAGAUUUAUUUUAGAAAACAAAUCAGCUUAGAGGCAUUUGUUCA